rnacentral:rRNA from 1 species
GACGAACGCUGGCGGCGUGCCUAAUACAUGCAAGUCGAGCGGACAGAUCAUGAUUUUGUUCCUCUCACGUUAGCCGCGGACGGGUGUGUCACACGUGUAUAACCUCCCUAUAUUACUGGUAUAACUUCGGGAAACCGGAUCUAAUACCGUAUGAGAUCUUGAACCGCAGUGUUCAAUAGUGAAAUACGGUUUUGCUGUCACGUAUAGAUGGAUCCAGGCCGCAUUAGCUAGUUGGUACGUUAACGGCUUACCAAGGCAACGCUGCGUAACCGAACUGAGAGGGGGAUAGGCCACACUGGAACGGAGACACGGACCAGACGCCUGAGGGAGGGCGCAGUAGGGAAUCUUACGCAGUGGGCGAAAGCAUGACGGAGCAAGGCGGCGUGAGUGAUGAAGGUCUUGGGAUCGUAAAACUCGGUUAUGGGGGAAAAACAAAUGUGUAAGUAGAUAUGGAGGUAUUGACGGUAACUAGUCAGGAAGCACCGGCUAACUACGUG